GUCGAUGGACGGGGGGGUUUCAUUAGAGCCAGGGACCACUGUGGAUUUGAUGAUAACAGGAGUGUUGAUGGGAGGUAAUGGCAGCCGUGACGGAGGUGUAACCGUGGAUGGGGACCGGACCGGGCGUGUGUUGCGAAAGAGGCGCUGUCGGAGGACUAGCACAUCCAUCUGUUGUGCUCUGGAAAAAAAAAAGGCCUGACAUCUCCUGACGUCAAAACCCCAAACCGACUGCUGUCGGUUGCCGGAUUGAUUUGCCGACUGCUUCAGAGGCACAAGCGUGAUGCUGGAACACGUGCCGACGUCCCCCGAGAGAGUUUGCAUUCCUCUGAGUGGUUACUGCACAUCAGCUCCGUCAGUCUGAUUUACAUUACAAAUUAAUAAUCAUCUGAUCAAGUGGCUGGAGAGCAACGCACCAUCAUCCCCACUGUUCUACGCAGCAACAGAGACAAGAGGACUCGUCGAAGUGCGUCUGCAUAGAGCUGCAGGGCGGUGACUCAAACUUCUUACUGGGCACCAGCAUGAGUCUAAACCAUCCCAGAGUGCAUCACAUUUGAGGUCUCUGACAGUCUCCGAGAUGCUGUCAGGCUUCCCCCGGAACAUCAUCCUGGUGCAAAACAAGAUUUGAGGGUGUUUGACGCCACAGAAGGAUGCCUUUUGUCAGACGCGCCCCUCUUGGAAGCUGGUUUCAGAUGGUGGCUUAGAGUAUUGUCAUCUAUCUAGCACCAUUUGAAAUCAGUGUUCUUGGGGUGGGAAGUGUUUUCACUGGCCAGCAACAGGCAGCUGUGAAGUGUCACGAGAGGAGUCUGGAGAUAAAGGUAUCACUCCCUGAAGCACGACUCACCGAGCUACUAACCACCGGUCUGCACUGACGUUCUGACAGCUCAAGCUCUUUGUCCUCUCUCCAAGGUUGACCGAUUUCUUUUGGUGUUCAGAGUCUGCUUUUGUUUCUAGCACCAUUUGAAAUCGGUUACAGUGAAGGACAGAUCUCAUCUCAUCUUGAGGAGGAUUUUGCAAGUAAGCUGCGCUGUUUAUUUUACAGACUGCAGAUCGACUGUGGUGAAAUUACAAGUGACUGUGUUAAAUUAUGAAUUAAACAUUAAUUAUUCUUAUCCUGGAUCUGGAUGUUUGCAAUCGAGGAAGAAGUAUUCAGAUCUUUCACGCAAAUUACGUUUAUUUAAAAUGACUUUUUGACAAGACAGAUUUCUUGUAUAAUCGAACGUACUUGGUAAUAAAAACCAUUCAGAUUCUAAAAGUCACAGUACCACCCUGUAAAAAUACUCUAUACGUUGUAAGUGAAAUUUCUGCAUUUUGCUUGAGUGUUAUUAUUACUAAAAUAUGUAUGUAUGUUCUAUUUAAAACUAUAAUCACACAUAAUAAAAUGUGAUGAAAGUAUGAAGCAAUGCAUGGAAAUAGGCAAGUACAAGUAGCUUAAAACUGUUCUUAUUUACAGUACUAGAGUAGAUGUACUUGUGACAUUUCACCACUGGAUGUUUGUCUGCCAUAUUGAUCAAAGGUGUAUUUGAACAAUUUCGAGUCAAAUCCACAAGGUGGCACUGUGAUAUUAAAUAUUAGAGGAGUCCUUUUUUAUUAGUCUCUGCACCUACAGCUGAUAUUAGCUAUAGACAAGAGACCAGGUGCCCACAUGCAGCACUUUUAGAGACUCUGAUCUAUACUAUGACAUUUUUAGGAUUUUUUAUGGCACAUCAUACUAUGACUUUGAUAUGACACACUGCACUGUGCACUGUUGCCUCACAGUAAGAGGGUUCUUGGUUCGAACCAGGGGUGGGGGAGCCCUUCUGUGUGGAGUUGGCAUGCUCUCCCCUGUGUCAGAGUGGGUUUUCUCCAGGUACUCCAGCUUCCUCCCACAGUCCAAAGACAUGCAGGUUAAUUGAUAACUCUAAAUUGUCCAUAGGUGUGAAUGUGAGUGUGAAUGGUUGUCUGUCUCUAUGUGUCAGCCCUGUGAUAGUCUGGCGACCUGUCCAGGGUGUACCCUGCCUCUCGCCCAAUGUCAGCUGGAAUAGGCUUCAGCACACCCGUGACCCCUAACAAGAAAAGCGAGUAUGACAUACUAUACUUUGACAUUUGUUUAUGACACACUGUACUAUGUCUGUAUUUUAAAACAUAUGGAAUAAUACACUAUGGCUUUUUUACAUGAUUAUUUUCCUGAAAUACUAAACUAUAACUUUUAUUUUAAUUUUUCAUUACAUGCUAUCCUACCGUACAGUGGGUUUUUUUAUGAUUCUGGAUGACAUACUAUAUUUUUCUUUUCUUUCUUUUUUUUUUUAUAGUGUUCUUACGACAUAAUAUACCAGGGCAUUGUUGUGUUUUUUUUUUUUUUACAACAUACUUUACUAUGACUAUGUUUUUUAUAUUUUUAUUUGACACACUACACGAUUUUUGACGACAUACUAUACUAUGACUUUUUUACACGAUUUUGAACGACAUACUAUACUAUGACUUUUUUACAUGAUUUUGGACGACAUGCUAUACCAUGA